rnacentral:piRNA from 1 species
GAACGACUUGUCAGAGAAGAAGAAG